UCCAGGAUAGCCUAGUGGACAUGACCACUGCCCGGUAAGCAGAAGGUUGUGGGUUCGAUUCCCGCUCCUGGAC